rnacentral:lncRNA from 1 species
GCCACGAAAGAAUAUAUAAUGGGACAAUUCUGAUGGUGAGGGGAGAGCCAUGGACAGGGAAGACCACUUAGGUGAAGUGACAUUUAUGCUGACACCUGAAAACGAGUAAAGUUAGCUAGAUAACAGCUGAUAGGAAGAGGACUGGAAGUAGAGAACUAAACUUCAAGUCCAGCGCGGCUGGAGGGUAGUGGUGCACAGCGGGAGCGGUUGAGAUCAAGCUGGAGGAGUGCAGCAGCGGGAUAACACAGAGCUUUUUAAAUUACGGGCACAUUUGAGUCUUGGGGUUAGCUGCAAUGAACAUCUCAUGGCAUUUCUCAUCUGUACCCUUGAUUAAGGAUUCUACUGUCGGCUAAAGAAUUUUAGGAGAAUACUACCUUUAUCUGCUUGAUUCCUGGACUUUUAUAAUUCAGAAUCAGGAGGCUGUUAGAAAGGAACAGCACCGGUGAGACAGGAAAAGGGCUACACACUUUCCUGAGGUGAUGAAGCGGUCAGCCUGAUUGAACAUGCAAUAAUGGAAAAGAGAAAAGAAAUAUAAGCUGAUACUCGAAGAGUCCAGCCCGUGUCAACUGAGGUCACAUUGUGAUCAGCCCCGAGCUAACUACUGCCAAUCGUCCUCUUUCUGCCCAAGAAGACUGGCCCUGAGCUAACAUCCAUGCCCAUCUUCCUCUACUUUAUACGUGGGACGCCUACCACAACAUGGCUUGCCAAGCGGUGCAAUGUCUGCACUGGGGAUCCGAACCUGCGAACCCGGGCUGCCCAGAAGCGGACGUGCGAACUUAACCACUGCGCCACCGGGCCAGACCCAUGGCAUUUUCUUUUUAAUUGUGAUUUCUUCUCGUUUGCUGCAUGCCCCUUUCCGUCUCAGGCUGCCUCAGUGAGAGGAGCUGCUGCCGCCUUGGCGUAUCUGCAAUGGACGGUCGGGAGCACUACUCCGGUUUCCUGAUCAAGAGGAAUAAACGGGCGCAUGUGCAGCGCUGACGCCAAUCAUCUGAAGGCCUGCAACUCCUUCCGCUACAAGGGACUGAUUCACUGCAAGACUGCGGGAGUGGAGCAGGCAGCCGAGGACAAGGGUGUGGUGGUGUUCACGAAGAAGAGAUCCGGCCAGCCAAAGCCAGCCACCUUCAUCCUGCAGACCACAUCAACAAGAACUCCUGGGCCACUUUCAGCGGCACCUGGCACGUGAACAGCAAGAACAAGUACCGCCUGGAUCUGCGUGUCUGCCGUCCGCUGAGUCUGCGCAAGCCUUGCGCAGCCAGAAGCCUGUGAUACUGAAGAGGGGGUGGACCAGCACGGAGUCCCAUAACGUCUCCCACCCCAAGCAAUAAAGAUGUCAACCGACUUUUCUCGACGAUGACAACAAAAUAUACAGAAAGGCAGCUGAGUCUUAUUCUGGGCACCGUGGUAAAUUUUCCCAUUAUUUUAAAUAAUUUGCCUAUAGAGUAUUUUAGGUUUUCUAUGUAAAUGAUUAUACUAUGUACAAAAGAGAAUUUUGUUUCUUCUCUUUCAAUACUUAAGUGUAAUUUCUUUUUCUGUUUUACAGCAUUGGCUAGGCCUCCAAUGCAAUAGCACUCUUGUGUAUUCUAAAAUUUAAAGUAAAUUUAUCUAAUAUUUCCCAGUUAGAAUGAUUUCUCUAGAUUUAAAAAAAUAUUCUUCAUGAGGUUAAGAAAGCUCCUUUAUAGUCCUAAUUAUCAUGAAUUAAAAAAAAUCAGGAGUCUUGAAUUUAUCAGAUGCUUUUCCCCUGCAUAUAUUGAGAUGAUCAUUUGGUCUUUAACUUCUAUACUACAUUGAAUUACGUGUAUAAAUUUUUUUUUGUCAUCUUAAACCAUAUUUCUUUUGUGAGAGAAACCCAAUAUGGUUGUUUCUUUAAUAAUUCUUUAAUGGGAUUUUAUUUUCUAAUAUUGUAUUGCUUUUUUUCCCCCCUCGUCUGUUUCUGAGUAAAAUAAGCCUGUAAUUUUUCUUUCUCUGGUAUCGUGGUUGUGAGACAGAGAGCUUUCUCUCUCUGUCUCUCUCACUUAAUGUCUGGAAGAGUUUGUAUAAAAUUCGACUAAUCUGUAUAUUGAAAGUUUUGCAGAACUCCCUUCUUGCCUGUAAACCCUCUGGGGCUAUUUUUUUCCUUGAGAGAAGAUUUUUAACUACUUCCAUUUCUAUAAUGUUUAUAGGGCCAUUUGAGUUUUUUCAUUUUGAAUAGGUCUGUAAGAUACAUUUUUCUAGGAACUUGUCCAUUCAGUAAACUUGAAAAAUUGUUGGCAUGUAUUUGUUGAUGGUAUUUUUUCCCCUUACUUUUCAUGUUCAUUUUAUCUGUAGUUAUACUGUGCUUUAACUUAUAAUACUGUUAAUUUGUGCCUUUUCUACUCUCGGUCAGUCUUAACUAAAGGUGGUUAUUUUGUUAGUGUUAGCUGAGAACUAACCUUUGGCUUUUUAAAUCUUCUCUAUUCUACUCUUGUUUCCUAUUUAAUUAAUUUUAACUCAUGUUUAUUAUCUUUUUUCUAUGUUAUUUGGGAUUACGCUGUUGUUCAUUUUAUAACUUCUUUUUAUUAAACGAUUGGCACCUGA